GCGGUAAUACGUAGGGCGCAAGCGUUAUCCGGAAUUAUUGGGCGUAAAGAGCUCGUAGGCGGUUUGUCGCGUCUGCCGUGAAAGUCCGGGGCUCAACCCCGGAUCUGCGGUGGGUACGGGCAGACUAGAGUGAUGUAGGGGAGACUGGAAUUCCUGGUGUAGCGGUGAAAUGCGCAGAUAUCAGGAGGAACACCGAUGGCGAAGGCAGGUCUCUGGGCAUUAACUGACGCUGAGGAGCGAAAGCAUGGGGAGCGAACAGGAUUAGAUACCCUGGUAGUCCAUGCCGUAAACGUUGGGCACUAGGUGUGGGGGACAUUCCACGUUUUCCGCGCCGUAGCUAACGCAUUAAGUGCCCCGCCUGGGGAGUACGGCCGCAAGGCUAAAACUCAAAGGAAUUGACGGGGGCCCGCACAAGCGGCGGAGCAUGCGGAUUAAUUCGAUGCAACGCGAAGAACCUUACCAAGGCUUGACAUGGGCCGGACCGCCGUGGAAACACGGCUUCCCCUUUGGGGCCGGUUCACAGGUGGUGCAUGGUUGUCGUCAGCUCGUGUCGUGAGAUGUUGGGUUAAGUCCCGCAACGAGCGCAACCCUCGUUCCAUGUUGCCAGCGGGUUAUGCCGGGGACUCAUGGGAGACUGCCGGGGUCAACUCGGAGGAAGGUGGGGACGACGUCAAAUCAUCAUGCCCCUUAUGUCUUGGGCUUCACGCAUGCUACAAUGGCCGGUACAAAGGGUUGCGAUACUGUGAGGUGGAGCUAAUCCCAAAAAGCCGGUCUCAGUUCGGAUUGGGGUCUGCAACUCGACCCCAUGAAGUCGGAGUCGCUAGUAAUCGCAGAUCAGCAACGCUGCGGUGAAUACGUUCCCGGGCCUUGUACACACCGCCCGUCAAGUCACGAAAGUUGGUAACACCCGAAGC
rnacentral:rRNA from 1 species